CUGACGCGCGGGUGCCCGCUCGCCUUGCGCCGGGAAGGGCCCCUCGUUUUCACGGUGCUGAGGGUGGAGAGGUGUCCUCUCAGUAUGUACGGACCCGCGGUUACAAUUUCAGGGCUCCUUACAGGGUAGUUUCAGUCAGAAGCGGCCCGGUUGGCCAGGCGGAGGUGGUUUCGCUUUACACAUCAGCCUCUUUGGGCAAGAAAGAACUUGGAGGUGCGGAAAUGCUUUUUGCUGCUCCCCGCUCUGCCCCGGUUAAAAAACAAAGUGUCUUCAUCGGAGUUUUCGUGCAGUGGGGGCUGGCCGAGAGCUGCGGCAUCUGGCAGUCCGGGCUGUGAGGCGUUUGCAGAGCGGCGGGGUUUGUAACCCUCCUGCACCAAGUGACUAAGGACACAGAGAAUGAUUGUUGGCACAUUUCAUUGAGAUCACAUGGAGAUAUGACAAUUCAAGCUACCACUGGGACCUGAAAUUUUCACAGAGAAGGUUCUACUACAGGCAGCUGCUCUCCAGACACGCUUCUGAUGCCAGCUGUGACUGUGUGGGUUUAAGGACGAGCAGCAUCUCCCCAUACAAAGCCUUGUAGAUGAGAACAAACGGUCAAAGCUGUGUGUGGAGCACCAGUGCUAUGUUCAGACCUGAGCAAGUUUUCCUGUUAGGCAGGCAUUUUCCCACUGCACGAGGAAGAACCACAACACUCAAAACAGUUUUCCUAGAGGGG